rnacentral:rRNA from 1 species
AUAUGAGUUUGAUCCUGGCUCAGAGUGAACGCUAGAAGUAUGCUUUACACAUGCAAGUUGAACGAAUAAAAUUCGUAGCGAACGGGUGAGUAAAAAUAAAAUUUUACCUUUUAGUUUUAGAAUAAAGCGUAUUAAAAAUUACUUAGUUUUUAAUAAAAAAUUUUAAAUAUUUUACGCUAAUACAAAAUAUUAACAAAAAUUAUUUUAAAAAUAGUUGCUAAAAGAUAAGUUUAUUAAAGAUUAGGUAGUUGGAAAUUUUAAAAGAAUUAUCAAGCCAGCGAUCUUUAGUUGGUCUUAGCGGACGAUCAACCACACUGGAACUGAGACAAGGUCCAGGCUAUUUUUUGCCAGCAGUGAGGAAUAUUGAACAAUGAACGAAAGUUUGAUUCAGCAAUACUACUUGAAUGAUGACGGCUAUUUUGGUUGUAAAAUUCUUUCGUUAAAAAAUGAUAAUGACAUUAUUUUAAAGAAGUAACAGUCCCGGCUAAUCUCGUGCCAGCAGCCGCGGUAAUACGGGAGGGGCAAGCGUUAUUCGAAUUAACUGGGCGUAAAGCGUCUGUAGACUGUAAUAAAAGUUAUUCUAUAAAUUUUGGAGCUCAACUUUAAAAAUUGAAUAAUACUCUUUUACUUGAGUUUUUCACAGAAAAAUGGAAUUUUAUAUUUAAGGGUGAAAUCUGUUGACAUAUGAAGGAACACCAUUAAAAGCGAAGGCGAUUUUUUAGUGCAGACUGACGUUGAGAGACGAAAGUGUGGGGAGCAAAUAGGAUUAGAUACCCUGAUAGUCCACACUGUAAAUUCUGAAUGCUGUAAUUUAGCUUAUUUAAAAACAAAAGUCUAGAUUUUUUCAAGUUAACGCUAUAAGCAUUCCGCCUGAGGAGUACGGUCGCAAGACUGGAACUCAAAGGAAUUGGCGGGGGUUUGCUACUAGUGGUGGAGCAUGUGGUUUAAUGCGAUAAUCCGCGCAAAACCUUACCAAUUUUUGAAUAGAUAAAAAAUUUAAAAGGCUCAUUUUUUGAUAAAUUUAUUAAAAAAUGAACCUUUUAAAUUUAAGUAUUAUACAGGUGUUGCACGGCUGUCGUCAGUUCGUGUCGUGAGAUGUUUGGUUCAUUCCUUUAACGAACGUAACUCUUAUCUUUAAGAUAUUUUUUCAAAAUAAUUUUAAAGACACUGCUAAUAAAAAAUUAGAGGAAGGUGAGAAUCAAGUCAAGUCUUUGUGGCCCUUAUAAAUUGGGCUACACAUGUGCUACAAUGGAAAUUACAAAAAGUUACAAAAAUGAAAAUUUAAGUUAAUCUAUUUAAAAAUUUCCCUAGUUCGGAUUGUAAUCUGCAACUCGAUUACAUAAAGCAGGAAUCACUAGUAAUCGCAAAUCAGCACGUUGCGGUGAAUAAGUAAACUAACCUUGCACACACCGCCCGUCACAUGCAGAGAGUUAAUUUUAC